rnacentral:rRNA from 1 species
CACGGCAAACGGGAGAGUAACACAUUGGUAAUCUGCCCCGAGGUCGAGAAUAAUCCCGCGAAAGCAGGAAUAAUACUCGAUGGAAGUGGGGGGACAUAAGUCGUUCCCACUUAAAGUUCCGACGCCUCGGGAGGAGCCUAUGGCCUAUCAGCUAGUUGGUAAGGUAAAAGCUUACCAAGGCUAUAACGGGUAGCGGGUGUGAGAGCAUGACCCGUCUCACUGGGACUGAGAUACUGCCCAGACUCCUACGGGAGGCUGCAGUCAAGAAUAUUCCUCAAUGGCCGAAAGGCUGAAGGAGCGACGCCGCGUGUAUGAAGAAGCCCUUCGGGGUGUAAAAUACUUUUCACUGGGAAGAACUAAUGACGGUACCAGUGGAAUAAGGAGCUGCUAACCUCGUGCCAGCAGCAGCGGUAAUACGAGGGCUCCAAGCGUUAUCCGGAUUUAUUGGGCGUAAAGGGUCCGUAGGCGGUUUGCCGCAUCUCCUGUUAAAUCUCAAGGCUUAACCUUGGGGCUGCGGGAGAGAUGGGCAAACUAGAGGCCGGGAGAGGCGAGCGGAAUUGCUGGUGUAGGGGUUAAAUCCGUUAAUAUCAGCAAGAACACCAAAUGCGUAGGCAGCUCGCUAGAACGGUCCUGACGCUGAGGGACGAAAGCGUGGGGAGCGAAUGGGAUUAGAUACCCCAGUAGUCCACGCCGUAAACGAUGGAUGCUUAGCAUUGGCAGUAUCGACCCUGCCAGUGCUGUCUACUUAAGCUAACGCCUUAA